UCAGCCGCCGCUCGCUGCUCCCCGGGGCGUGAUGGCGGGGAUGGAGGUGUGGAAAGUUCCCCCCACACCCCGUGUAGUGCCUCGUUCCACCCCAAAACAACCCCUACUUACUCCUCUGCGUCCCCCCUGCGCCGCAAGGGAGGCUUUUUCUGUCAGGAGUGAAAAUGGGCAAGCCAAAAAUGAGGAAAUUGAAAUGUUUUGGCUCAGCAUUUCUGGCAGCACCCCACAAAUGAUUAAAAAAAAAAAAA